rnacentral:tRNA from 1 species
UUUAAGCUUCAUAUAUAAAGAAUUUUCUUUUAUUAGAA